GUCCUCACUUUAGCAGCACAUAUACUAAAAUUGAAAUGAUACAGAGACAAUUUAGCAUGGCCCUGCACAAUGAUGACAUGCAAAUUCAUGAAGUGUUCUAUAUUUUU